rnacentral:lncRNA from 1 species
AUGCUCUGACCAUUUUUCUUUGAGUUGUCUAUAUUGUUAUUUCUGAAAUAUAUUAGUUCUUUAGAUAUGUGAAUUUUAAUCAUAUCUGGUAUAUAUACUAUAGAUAUAAUUCCUAAUUUAUCACCAUUAUUUUAACUUUAUUGAUUCAUUUUAAUUUUUAAUAUUCAAGUUUAUGAAAAUAUUUAGUAAUAACUUUUAUACCUCAUUAAUUACUAAGUAGGAAUAUUCUUCCUCGUAUCUAAUAUAUAGUCUGAUAUAAUUCUUAAAAAUAUUUUUGCAGUCGCAUUGUACUUAGCUCUGCAUUUCAUCAGGAGUUUAUUUUUCUAACGCAUGGGGUAGAAACCUAAAUUUUUUUCCUGAAGUAGCAAAGCAUCAUUUAUUGAACUGUCAUCGGUCUAUUCAUACCACAUUUCCCACUGAUUUGAAUAUUGUCUUAAUUGUGUGCUAAAUUUAUGAGUAUGUGGAUCUGCUGAAUUCUGUGAUAUUGACCAGUCUAUCAAGAUCAAUAUUGGCAUGAUACUGUUUUAAUUGCUAUAAAUUUAUAGAAAUAUAUGUUAUGAUAUGUAGCAAAUCAACCAUCCCUCACUAUUAUUUUUGUAUUCUUAAAGUAAUGCUGGAUUGCAAGAAUAAGUAUAUCUCCAAAUUUCAGUGUCUGAAACAAACAGAAGUUUGUUUCUCGUCCAUGUAACCAAGGCAAAUGCUCCUGGUUGGCAGGUGGCUUCCUCCAGGCAGUAAAUCUACAGCCCAGGCUCCCUGCAUCUUAUGGCUCCAAUCACUUUGGAUCUCAUCGUCGCCUGCACAUUGCCAUACACAGGGAAGGAGAAGAGAUGGAGAAGGCAAAGACUUUCUGAAAGCCGUGGCUAAAAGCUGGCAUGUGUCACAUCAGCUCACAUUCCAUUGUAGAGACGGGGUUUCACCGUGUUAGCCAGGAUGGUCUUGAUAUCCUGACCUCGUGAUCCGCCCGCCUUGGCUUCCCAAAGUGCUGGGAUUACAGGCGUGAGCCACCGCUCCCGGCCUGGCAGGCAUUCUUGAGGCAAACGGGAAAUGGGGUAAGUUACACAAUCGAUACAGCUCCGUCAUCGUGGUUUAAUUACUUUUCCACGUACCAUGUUUCCUGACAGGUAGAACGAUCAGCCUGGGCCUCCGUUUUUCAUUCUACAAAGAAUGAAGUGCAUGAACUGUCCUCUAUAGAAUUGUGGAAAAAGUUGUUUUUAUUGAGUUGUGGUUAUCUUUGUCUUCAUGGUCUAAUUACGGAAAUAAAUGCUUUUCCGAGUCUCCGGGGAUGGUCUGCCCUAGUCCAGCUCUCUGCAGUGUCUUUCUGGGUUUUUCCUCAGUGAACGGGAGGAACAUUGGCAGCACUUGUGGUCUGCACCAAGAACUGAAUCGAAUUUCCAUGUGUUAUUGAAUGUUCACAAAGACCUUGUACAGCGAGUGUUACUACCUCUGGUCAAUGAUUCAACUCAAGGCUCAGAAAAGUCAAGUGUCUUGUCCAGGGACACUUAGUCAGAAGUGAAUCCAAGGUUUAAGCUCAAGUCUGCCUAACUCUGAAUUUCACAGCCUUUUGCUACAUAUGGCGAAUAAUAUAUCCCUGAGCACUAAAGGCAGACUCCAAGGAUCUUGUCUCUGCAAUCAUCAUUCUGGCCAUAAUUUAUGAAAAGCAACCCAAAGUAUGUGAUGUAAUAAAAAGUACUAUCUAUGAGUUUACCCUUCCAAAAAUUGAACUGAAUUCUGAGCUCUAAAUUUGGAAUCAAAAGAACUUUUCUCUGCACUAAUCAUUUGGAACAUCACUUAAAGAAAACAACGAAAAACUGGUGUCCCCUGAGAGAAAGCAAUACAAAACAUUAUGCAUAAAGAAAUCCUUCCAAAAAAUAAACCAAAUCCAGUCAAAUCUCUAGUUUUGACUCCUAGCUUACCGGAAAUACGUGAUGGGAAAAAAAUGAAAUGACACCACUAUGAUUCAAUCAGCCAAAUCCAGCAUAUGCAAAUUUCUACCAGAUAAAUGGUUUAGUUUCUUCCCCAAACAAAUGGCACAAGGAAACGGAGGUAAGAAUGGGAUGCUGUUAUAGAUUUUAAAAGAUUUAAGAAAGUAUAAACUAAAUACACUAUGUGCAUCCUCUCUGAACGUGCUUCAAACAUAUCAAGGGGUCAAUGAGCAGUUUUGAAACAAUAAGGGAAUUUGAACACUGAAUGGUUGUCAGAAGAUAGUAAGAGAUCAUUAUUAAUUUUACUAGACAUAAUGAUGUUCUGAUUUUGUUUUUUUUUUAAAAAAAAAACAGUGUUAUUUCCUUUAUAGAUACAUCAUAUAGUAUUAACUAAUGAAAUGCUUUGAUAUCUGGAACGUUUAAAAAAUAUUCCCGAUGGAGUAAGUGCAAAGAAACAGGUAAGCAAAAUGCUGAUAAUUGCUGAAACACAGGAUGUGUACCUGGGGCUUCAUUUACUAUCUCUUCAUUUUCUAUUUUGAUAUUUGUUGGACAUUCUCAUAAAAAGGAAAGUUAUGUUUUAUUUUCUCAUAAGCUAGUAAUGAAAUAGCCCUACGUAACUGAUAUUGUAGAGACAAGAAUAGGUGUAAUAGAGCUUAAGGUUUUCAUUUAAAAAACUAUCUGUAGACUUCAAUGGAUCUUAGGUGGCAUCCAUGCAAUAACACUCGUGGAACAUGCAGGACAGGUGUGGAGCUCCAUCUUCACACAGUGACAUUUUUUAUGCUUCUGUUUUCCCUAAGAGUGGAGUGAGAGGAUGAUUAUUUUAUAUCAUGGACUUCUUCCCUGCUAUACUUUUUUUAAUUAUUUUACUUUCACUUCUGGGAUACAUGUGCUGAGCAUGCAGGCUUGUUUACAUAGGUAUACAUCUGCCAUGGUGGUUUGCUGCACCUAUCAACCCAUCAUACAGGUUUUAAGCCCUGCAUGCAUUAGGUAUUCGCCCUAAUGCUCUCCCUCGCCUUUCCCCCCACCCCCUGAUAGCCCCCAGUGAGUCAUAUUCCCCUCCCUGUGUCCAUGUGUUCUCAUUGUUCAACUCCCAUUUAUGAGUGAGAAUAUGUGGUGUUUAGUUUUCUGUUCCUGUGUUAGUUUGCUGAGAAUGAUGUUUUCCAGCUUCAUCCAUGUCCCUGAAAAGGACAUGAGCUCAUUCUUUUUUAUGGCUGCAUAGUAUUCCACGGUGUUAUAUGUGCCACAUUUUCUUAAUCCAGUCUGUCAUUGAUGGACAUUUGGGUUGUUUCCAAGUCUUUGCUAUUGUAAAUAGUGCUGCAAUAAACAUAUGUGUGCAUGUGUCUUUGUAGUAGAAUGAUUUAUAAUCCUUUGGGUAUAUGCCCAGUAAUGGGACUGAUGGGUCAAAUGGUAUUUCUGGUUCUAGAUCCUUGAGGAAUUGCCACACUGUCUUCCACAAUGGUUGAACUAAUUUAUACUCCCACCAACAGGGUAAAAGCAUUCCUAUUUCUCCACAUCCUCUCCAGCAUCUGUUGUUUCCAAAUGUUUUAAUGAUUGCCAUUCCACCUGGCGUGAGAUGGUAUCUCAUUGUGGUUUUGAUUUUCAUUUCUCUAAUGACCAGUGAUGAUAAGCUUUUUUUCAUAUGUUUGUUGGCCACAUAAAUGUCUUCUUUUGACUUUUAUGUGGAAACAAAUUUAACUGCACAGAGAGGUGAAAAUUAAUUAAUAACUUUUAAAGUAAUUCCCUAAGUUUCUAAGGAUCUAUAUGUUUCCAUCUGACUUUAUUUUAUUUAAGCUCUUGAUUGAUGCUGCAUUUGGAGCAGGUUCAUGAACAUGAAUAGAGUUAAUCUGGGACAGAUUUCCCUCAUUUGAUUUUUUCACUGUUUCCAUCACAGAACUUAUUUCAUGCUCACCAUGUUUGCAGGCAUUGAGCUUGGUACUGGAGCCACAGAGCUGGAUCAGACAGACUUGUGCAAAUAUUUCAGGUUUUUUUUGUGGGGGGGUCAUAUUUAUAGAUAAAUAACAGUAAAGAGUGACGGGUUCUUAUGAAAAUGCAUACACAGUGAAGUAGAGGGUGAAAAGGAGGGAUGUGUUCUAUGAGGAGGAAGAGUGAUAAGAAAGUGUAAGGGGAUGUGUCUGUGUCUAGACAUAUGUGUGUUCACGUGUGUGCGUGCUUGUGUGUACUGCAUGUGUAUAUGUGUGGCCAUGCACCUGUGUGCAUGUUCAUGUGUGUGUGUGUAUGUGUCUGUGUUGAGGACUAAAUUAAUUGGGCUUAUGGAAGCAGGGAGCCACUGAUAGGUUUAAUUAGAGACUGACAUGAUAUGAUAGUUUAGGUGGAUUUCUCUGGGGGCUGUGUUGAGGGACAGUGGGGAGGAGAGCUAGAAGGAAGAAAAGGACACAUGCAUAACAGAAGCAAUAUCUGUCUAUGGGAUGGUGGAAAGAAUCAGAAAAGACUUAAUAAAACAUGUGACACUUUAACUGAAUCUUGAAAUAGACAAGUGUUGGAGGAGGGAGUUGGACCAGAUACUUCAUGCAAAGGGAAGAAAAGUGCACAAACAAAAUAUGAGAAACAAGGCAGACAGGCAUUUUUUUAAAAUUUUCGCACCCACUGAUAGACCAGUGAUGCAUUCACAUCGUCUGCAUUCAUGAUCAACAAAAGUGCUUUCCUAGAACAUGAACCUCAACCCAAGUGUCGCCUCAAGUAGUGUAUGCAUGAACUCAAGCAUUAAAUUAGAAUUGAUUUUUUAAAAAACUCACACAAACAGAUGUAUUAUUUAAAAAUCUUUAAAGCAGGUUUAAACAGUUUUCAGGAUUAAAAGCAGCCACUAUUAGAAAGAACAAAAAUACAUUUGACAUAAAUAUAAGGAGCCUCAAUAGAACCUCCUGUACCCAGUCAUUGUCAAUGCCACAUCCAUUCAUUCACCAGCCCUUAUAUCAAUGCUUGCUGGGCUCACUUACCACGAUCAGCACGUGCAUGUCCUUAUCUGAAAGCUUGCCACUCAAAUGUGCUCAGUCUUACCUGUGUGGCUGGGAGUGUUGGGGAUUUAAUGUCAAGGGAAAGAAUCUUCCAUCAAUGAAUGAUGAAAGUUAGUUUUCACAACUUCCGGUCCCCUUGGCCCUCAUCAAAGGGCUCCAGGUGAGGUUUGGGCUCCUUGCUAUCCUCCGAGUUUCCACGGUAGUUUUAAGCACCAUUGCCCGUGGUAAUGGCUGACAUUGAUACUGCACUUUUUUUUUAUUUAAGAUGGAGUUCCCCUCUGCCACCCAGACUGGAGUACAGUGGCGCGAUCCUGGCCAUCGCAACCUCCGCCUCCCAGGUUCAAGCGAUUCUCCUGCCUCAGUCUCUCAAGUAGCUGGGAUAUGGGCACCUGUCACCAUGCCCAGCUAAUUUUUUUAAAAUUUAUUUUUAGUAGAGAUGGGGUUUCACCAUGUUGGCCAGGCUGGUCUCGAACUCCUGACCUCAGGUGAUCCACCCACACUUUUUAUUGUUUGCCUACACUUUCUAGACUUGCUUCAUCAGCCUACUCCGUUUCUGGUUGAUAUGGUUUGGUUGUGUCCCCACUCAAAUCUUAUCUAGAAGUGUAAUCCCCAAGUCUCAAGGGAGGGACCUGGUGUGAGGUGAUUGGAUUGGGGGGUGGUUCCCGCCAUGCUGUUCUCAUGAUAGUGAGUGAGUUCUCAUGAGAUCUGAUGGUUUUAUAAGGCAGUUUUCCCUAUUCUUGCUCACUCUUCUCUCUCUUUCUGCCAUGUGAAGAAGGUCCUUGCUUCCCCUUCACCUUCUACCAUGAUUGUAAGUUUCCUGAGGCCUCCCCUCAGCCAUGCACAACUGUGAGUCAAUUAAACCUCUUUCCUUUAUAAAUUACUCAGUCUCAGGUCGUAUCUUUAUAGCAGUAUGAGAAUGGACUAAUACACUGGUCUAUCCUUCAUCCAAAUUAACUACCUGCACUGCAGUCCUUGUCUCAGGCUCUGCUUUGAGGGACCCCAACUGUGACAGCCGCAUUAGAAUGCAUCACAUACUGCAGUGAAAUUCUAGAGUGGGUGUUGUCAGGUGGUGAUGAUUGUUAGAUAUGUCAGUCUGUUUUCAGGCUGCUGAUAAAGACAUACCUGAGACUGGGUAAUUUAUAAAGGAAAAGGAGGUUUAAUGGACUCACAGUUCCACAUGGCUAGGGAGGCCUCACAAUCAUGGCAGAAGGUGAAAGGCACGGCUUACAGGGUGGCAGCAAGAGAGGAAAUGAGAACCAAGUGAAAAGGUUUCUGCUUAUAAAACCAUCAGCUCUUGUGAGACUUAUUCAUUACAAUGAGAACAAUAUGGGGGAAACUGCCCCCAUGAUUCAAUUAUCUCCCACCAGAUCCCUCCUACAACACAUGAGAAUUGUGGGUGCUACAAUUCAAGAUGAGAUUUGAGUGGGGACAAAGUCAAACCAUAUCAUUAGAUAGGACACUGGAGAAAGGCAAGAAAGAAAAGACAUCUGAAGAAUGAAGGGAGCCAAAGAAAUGCCAACAUUUUGCUUUUUGAAGAAAAGCUAAAUUAAAGUCAAAAUGGAUUUAUCAAUUUCCUUGGGUUCGUGAAUGUACAGAACUUUAUUAAGGUAAGUCAAAACUUCUCUUUUUAUACUUAACCCAACUCAAAUUGGCUUAUGUAGGGGAAACAAGAAAUCAAAACCCAAAGGAACAUGCCAGUUCAGGAAUAUACAGUUAGCUAAGCUUCUUACUGAACAAAUAAAAUCACAAAGCAUGUAUGCAGAUAGACCACAAGUGACUAUAGUGAGGUAGUUUAUUUCAGCUCUAUUUAUCUGGAAUUAAUGCUACACCAUCUGACAUAUUAAGCAGUUAUGCAUCAGGUAUCAGUAGUUACAUCUUCCAGUGCCUCUUACAGUUGCCCCUGAUGGUAUAUCUACUCGAAAGUAUGUAAGUGCACUCACAUUCUUCAACAUUUCCUCAUUAAAGCCAGAUGGAAUUGGGCUUCUUAUACUUGCUAUUCAUUCAUUUAAUAUUAUUAGAGUGUCUACCAUGUAGUAGGCAUUUUCUGUAAAUGCUGGGGAUAUCUUGAUAACAAAGACAAAACCUUUCCCCACAUAGAUCUUAAAUUUUAGUGCGAAGAGAAAGACAAUGACUAUUUUGAAGUUACGAAGGGGAUUUGCUGAUUUGAAUGCCUACUUAGGAGAUUCAGAAGUGGUUGGAUUUAGGUGCUUAGAUUAAGUCAUCAGGAAUUUCCACCUUCUACCCAUAACAGUGAGCAUCUGAAACUUACAAAACAAUAUUUCCUAUUUUACUUCAUUUUAUUUUAGAGACAGGGUCUUGCCUGUUGCUCAGUCUGGAAUGCAGUGGCACAAUCAUAGCUCACUGCAGCCUCAAUUUCCUGGGCUCAAGGGAUCCUCCCAAAGUGCUGGGAUUACAGGUAUAAGCCACCAUGCCCGGCCAAGAUACUCUAUUUUUAAUUUACAGUUUAUAUCAAGACACUGAGCCAGGGGAAUUUGAAGUCACCCAUCCAGUGGUCUUAGCAUCUUUGCUCACACACUGAAUGACUUGAUGUAAAUGACUGAAUCAGACUUGUUUGCUUAUAGCUGACACCACCGAGCAAACAUAUUCUCUCUUUCUCUGGGACAACACCUGAUAUGGUCUGGCUCUGUGUCCCCACCCACAUCUCAUCUUAAAUUGUAAUCCAAAUUGUAAUCCCCACAUGUUGGGGGAGGGACCUCAUGGGAAGUGAUUGGAUCAUGGUGGUGGUUCCCCCUGUGCUAUUCUCGUGAAAGUGAGUGAGUUCUCAUGAGAUCUGAUGGUUUUAUAAGGGGCUCUUCCCCCUUCAUUUUGCACUUCUGUCUCCUGCUGCCUUGUGAAGAAGGACAUGUUUGCUUCCCCUUCCACCAUGAUUGUAAGUUUCCUGAGGCCUCCCCAGCCAUGCCAAACUGUGAGUUAAUUAAACCUCUUUCCUUUAUAAAUUAUCCAGUCUCGGGUAUUUCUUUAUAGCAGCAUGAAAAUGGACUAAUACAGCACCUAUCUCCCAGUAUUGUAUUUUCACAAUGGAAGUUUUAAUCCAGGGAUGUCUAAUCUUGUGGCUUCCUAGGCCACACUGGAAGAAGAAUUGUCUUGGGCCACACAUAAAAUACACUAACACUAAUGAUAGCUGAGAAGCUAAAGAAAAAUCACAAAUAAAUCUUACAAUGUUUCAAGAAAGUUUACGAAUUUGUAUUGGGCUAUCCUGGGCUGCGUGCAGCCAUGGGCUAUGGGUUGGACAAGCUUGGUUUAAUCCAUAGAUGGAGCAUUCUACACAGCUCCCUUAAAGAUGUUCCAGAAGUGCUGACUCUGUGUCAGGCACCAUGUUCACCACUUAGAUGUUCGUUUAAUCCUUACAAAAGAGCCAUGGAGCAUGGACUGUUACUGUGGCAGAUGUGUUAGCCUCCUGUGGUUGCCAUAACAAAAUACUACAAACUGCGUGGCUUAAAACACCAGGAAUUUAUUCUCACUGUUCUAAAAGACGGAAGUCCGAAAUCCAGGAGUCAACAGGGCUGUGCUCCUUUUUGAGGCUCUAGGGAAGAAUACUUCCUCCCCUCUUCCAGCUUCUGCUGGCCACAGGUGUUCCUCGGCUUGUGGCCACAUCACUCCAAUUGCUGCCUCCAUCCCACAUAGCCUUCUUCCCUAUGUGUGUGUUCUCACAUGGUCUUUGUAUAAGGAUAUCAGUUAUGGGAUUUAGUUCCUACCAUAAUCCAUCAUGAACUCUACUGCACUAAUUACGUCUACAAAGGCCUUAUUGCCAAAUAAGGUCACAUUCUGGGGUUUCAGGUGAAUAUAAAUUUUGGAAGGACACUAUUCAACCCAGUACAACAAGUAAAAUUUAAAAAGGCACCCUUUUACCUUGGCAUGUUAUCUCACUUGAUUUUUAUAACAGCCCUGUAGAUUAAACAGAUAAUAUGUUAUAUUCCCACUUCUAGAUAUCAUCACCCAUUAUUUGAGAGAAUGGAAAUGAAGUUCAGGGCUGUUAACACUCCUGCCACUGAAACAUCCCAGGCCAGUGACCUUUUCAUGUCUGACCUAACAGGUGGUUUCCAACCACAGUUACUUGUGACAUCAUUCCAUCACUCCCCAUACACAUUCCCUGUAGAUCAACUUAUCUGGCCCUACAAUUAUAGUUACAGGGAAUUUUACAUUCUUCAUCUUCCACAGGCAACUGAAUCUUCUGGGACAAAAAGCAUAUGUUCUCCCAUAGUAAUAAAAUUUCCCUUUUUUAGCCUGGCAUGUGACUGCCAAUAAUAACACUUCCCAGACUCUCAGGUGUCCACGUCUAUCCAAAGGGAAAUAUAGUCAGUGAUAACUUCCAGACAUAGAUGAAACAUGCCACACCUUAUAGUCACUUUAUGGGGUUCAUUCUCUCUUCCCAUAGACUGUCAUGCUGUCAUCAUGGCUGGAUCUGAUACGGCCACCGUGGACCUUGAGGUGACCUCGGGAAUGGAGACAGUGCAUGGGAGAGAAUCACAUUGGAAGGGGCCUGGGUUUCUGAAGACCCUGUAAGACAGAUCUCCUUGCAGCCCUGACUGCCCACAUUAGGGCUUUUAUGUUAGGGUGAAGUUACCUUGCAUUGUCAUAUAAGCAAUUGCUAUUUGUGGUGUCUUGCAAAUAAACCUAUUCUGAUCUAGUAUGUUUCCUAAAAAACAAAAGUUUGAACCCAGCUCUUUACGUGUUACAUGUUCUGAAUACAAAAAUAAGACCCAGUUUCUGCCCCCUAGCAGGACCCAAAACCCCUCAGUGAAGGCAUACACCAUAGGAAUAAUCUCACAAGUACUUU